GCUUCUAUGGCCAAGUUGGUAAGGCGCCACACUAGUAAUGUGGAGAUCAUCGGUUCAACU
rnacentral:tRNA from 1 species